rnacentral:misc_RNA from 1 species
UAUGCUUUCAACAAUAGAACUAUGAGAUGAAGUUCCAUAGAAAAUCAUAAUUAUGCUUUGAACAAAAAACAUUCAAGUGAAAUUUUGAUCCUAUUUUAGCCAUUCUUUUCUUUCCCCUUUUUUUUCUAUCAAGUCUAUUCAUCCAAUUCAACAACGAAAAACAAACAGAAAUUUCCAGCCCUUUAUUCACUCAAACAGUUCCAUUGAAAACACAUAGGAUUUACCAACAAUUUCUAAAACUGAAAAUCAAAGUGGAAAGAACAAACUUUCACACAUAAAAACCACCAUCUCAGAAGAAACUUACCCAGUCAUAAUUUUUUGAAAGGAA